rfam:Populus trichocarpa isolate Nisqually-1 chromosome 19, whole genome shotgun sequence.
CAAUCUAUCUGGAGCAUAUUUUUAUUUAGUCAUAACAGACCCAUAUUUCUUAAAAUUAGCUGUUAUCACAAUUUUAAUUACAUCAAAUUCCCUCAAUUAUAUUGAAUAGCAGGUUCAAUGAACUCACCUGAUGGAUC